AAAUCUAUAUGAUUUUUAGUAUGAGAAAUCAGAUUAGAUAUAAUUUUCAUCAUAGAAAAUUAGAGAAGAAAAGUUCUUCUUAAGGGCGUGAAAGGAAUAGAGAAAGAUUCUCUUUUAUGCGUGAGAAAAUUGAGAAGAAAAGAUUCUUCUUUUGAUUUUUAUUAUAGAGAUCUGAUGCAUGGAUCCAAAAAGAAAAGAAGAGGAUCUCCUUAUUCUUCAUCUUCGUAAUUCCUCU
rnacentral:lncRNA from 1 species